CCAUCCCAGACACAUGCUGAGCAGUGUUUGAGUGCAGGUUCGACAGAGACGGAGGUUUCACAAUGCACAGCCACGAAUAAGGCUUGUGGCUGGGUUCUUGACAUUAAAGUUCCUACCAAGUGCUGGCUGCCCUCGGAGCUGCCAGUUCUCAUGACUCAGUUGUUGUGAAUCCUGCAGUGUUCGGUGUGGUUUUUUUCCCCUUCUGUCUCUGACUCCCAGACUUGGGGGAUUCCCGCUUUUGUUACAGCUUGCUGUUCUUGUGUUUGUGGGCAGAAGCUUGAAAACGCGAACUGCAACAGCACGAGCCAGAAGUCUCUUCUCAGUUACCGGCUGUAACCUGCUCCAGAUGAGCUCCUCCGUAACAUCUGUUAGGCGCUGCUUAGGCUGCCCCCAGCAAUGCCACCAGCUGGUGCAGUUUUCCUGGGGACGGCCCAGUGUGACUCACCCAUUCCAACCUACCUGACCGCCCAGGUCCUGGCUCUUCCAGUUGUCUUGGCUACAGAAGUGGGUUCAUUUUUCAUAACAGCUGACACAACUGUUCAAAGAGGUAGAGGUGCCUGGCUUCACCUGAGCUCCCAGUCAUGCUCAGAGACCAGCCGCGGGGCUGCAGCAAGCACCAAGCAUGCCUGAGCCUAGCCUGCUAACUAGGGCAGUAUUACACGUGAGUGGUUUCUACUUGGGCUGGAUCGUGGUGCUUGGAAGCCCAUCUGGGUGAUCUUAACCUCAUUUCCUAUUUUAAUAAACACCAUUCUGGUAAUUCA